rnacentral:lncRNA from 1 species
CUCAUAAGAAGAGGGGAUUAGGACAUAUAGAGACAGAUGGCAGGGCUGUGCACGUACAGAGGAAAGACCAUGUGAGGACACAGUGAGAAGAUGGCCAGCUAUUACACAAGCCAUGGAGAGAGGCCUCGGGAGACACCAACGUGGCCGACACCUUGAUCUUGGACUUUUAGCCUCCAGAGCUGAGAAAAUAUUAAUAAAUUUCUGUUGGUUAAGUCACUUAGUCUGUGGAAUCGUGUUGUGGCAAUCUUCAACUAAUACACCUCCUAAUAAAAUACUUGUUUCUAAAGGGGGAGUUGUUGCAUGUUGAGGUUUUUACUGUGCACCUCUGUCUGGGGUGAAUGCUGGCAAACUGCAGGAAGACUGCGCCAUAAACCCUAUCAUGGUUUGGCUUCUUCCUUGACCCACUCAGAAAAAGUUCAGUUCUUCUGAAAAACUCACGAGUACUCCACAAGGUGGCACAUAUCACCCUCCACACCAUCCUCAUCUCGAGGUCUCUGUAGUACACCUGAGACCAAGGGGGGAGCUCGUGUACAUUCUGGUCUUUGUCAACAGUGACUCCCAACCACACCCUUAUUCUUUCAAAAUAUAUUUUAUUAGCGGCACAUGGAAUGUCAAGUUAAGCAAAUUCUUUCCAGAGAGAAGGUGAGCCUGACAGACUAAAACGUUGAGCACGGAUGAUACAGCAGAAAUAACAUUUCCAGUGUAAUGAGAGAUAAAGAGGAAUACUGCCCACCGAGGAAAUGACUUUCUUCACCAUGCUGACCACACUGCACAGCGCCCGAUCCGGCUGGUGAGGAUGGGGAGGUGGGAAGAAUCUCAAAGCACUGGACAGGGUGAGGACUCAGGAAGUCACGGGGUCAGCCCUACAGCAUCAGCUCCUCUCUGUUGUUGGAGAGGCCCUGAGCCCCAUUACUCACUAUACGAGGACCAGAGUGUCUUUGGCAGGUGGAGGCUGGCUCACGGGAGAACACCAAGUGAGGGGGCUCCUCUGUGAACCCAAGAAACUUCAAGGAACCCCACAGCGUCUCCCUUAUGACCUCCCAUCUCCAGAUUAGGAAGCUAUGGAUUCCCAGAGGGUCCUUUGGAAGUAUCUAGAAAUGUCCAGCUACCAGCCUCAGAGUCCUUUAGCCUUGGAAGGAUUCGCCUUUACCCUCCCACAGUUGAUACAGAAGCACAGAAGAUUGACAUUUGCCUUACUUAUUGAUGCUGGACAUGGGGCAAGGACUCAGGAGUUGAGAUGCUGCAUUGGAUUGUCACAAGGCCCCAGAGGUUCUCAAAGGCAGAUAAUCCCUGGCUCUGGUUCUGGAGGGAGCUGACACUGGACAGCCAAUGAACUGCUGCAGUGGGAGGAGGCGCCUUUACUUUUUCUUAUAAGCUUCUGCUGGGGAAUUAACUGACCGGGUUCCAUGGUGUCAAAGUGCCCUAAUAUUUGGAAGCAGCCAAGUCUUUGCUUACUUUUCAGUUACUCUAGGACCACAGAAGGCCAGGUGUCUCCAAGGGUGGUCCUGGCACAGGCAUCGGGCGUGUGAAGCUGUCCUCCCCGCCACAUGCACUUCUCAGGACAAGUGCAUUGCCUGAGGUGACCACUGCUGAGCCUAGUACCGUCCCCCAUGACUGUCCAGGCAGGGGCCUGGCCAGUGGCAGUGCUCCUUGGGGAGGCUCCUCAGAAGGCCAGGCAGAGCACACCUGGUGCUCACAGCUGGACAGAGAGUUCUGAGAAUUUAGCUUAUGCCUUUUCUUGUCAAGAUUUACCACUGUAACUCAAGCUUAAAAUUAAUUUCUAGGAUCUAACCUGGAGUGGCCCUGUGGCCUGGUCUGAACGCAGCUGAAGCAAGCUGCACUACUGACCAGGCACAGUUUGGUGGGAUUUUUGCCAAGGAGAAAGAAAGGUAGACUACUUCACAUCUCUUGGGUGAUAUACCAAGGAGAAGAGGAGUUACCAAGCCUCUACUCUUUUUAAGGAAGCUUCCAGUGUCUCUGAGUUCAUGACAGAAAAAGGGUAUCAAGAAUUGUCGAGAGUGUAGAUUAUUACUAAAGACUAGAGCAACACAUUAAAAAGGGAAGGUAGGGCUAGUUUUCCUCUAAAAGAAUAAGCUGCUCUUUAGGGCAGAUGGAACAAUUUAGCUGCUUCUCAAAACUUCAGUCACCUGUGGGGGUUCAUGAGGAUUCCUGCAUGACAAGUGUGAAAGUCUGCACGGAGUGAAACAUACAGCCCCCCAGCCCUGCCUCUCACCCACUCCUGGGAAUGAGAUGGCGUGCUUCC